GCAGAGAAAGCGACAAGUUGCAGUUGCUUUCAACUUUAGAGCGAAAGAGGAGGACCAGGCUCUGGGAAGGAAAGGUAUGAGUUUUUUGUGUUUCACAUUCCAUGAUGUCCCCCUCUUGGGGUCUCGACUCUUUUUUAUUAUGGGAACUCUCUACCACUACCUCAAUUCUUUCUUGGUGCCUUCUCUUACCCGUUGGAUUUUUGAAUCUUAAAAGAUUUCUAGGAUUAAGGUUUCAAGUCAAACCAAAAACAAGUUGUCUGAUAGAAAACAACCAAAAUUUCUUACAAUUUUUUUUUCUGGUAUUUUUUUUUAGCUUUCUUUGCAUGCUAAUAUAAUCAGUUUUGCCUUGUAUUUGCCCACUUGUUGAGAGAAAUUUU
rnacentral:misc_RNA from 1 species